GACGAACGCUGGCGGCGUGCCUAAUACAUGCAAGUCGAGCGAGCGGAACUAACAGAUUUACUUCGGUAAUGACGUUAGGAAAGCGAGCGGCGGAUGGGUGAGUAACACGUGGGGAACCUGCCCCAUAGUCUGGGAUACCACUUGGAAACAGGUGCUAAUACCGGAUAAGAAAGCAGAUCGCAUGAUCAGCUUUUAAAAGGCGGCGUAAGCUGUCGCUAUGGGAUGGCCCCGCGGUGCAUUAGCUAGUUGGUAAGGUAAAGGCUUACCAAGGCGAUGAUGCAUAGCCGAGUUGAGAGACUGAUCGGCCACAUUGGGACUGAGACACGGCCCAAACUCCUACGGGAGGCAGCAGUAGGGAAUCUUCCACAAUGGACGCAAGUCUGAUGGAGCAACGCCGCGUGAGUGAAGAAGGUUUUCGGAUCGUAAAGCUCUGUUGUUGGUGAAGAAGGAUAGAGGUAGUAACUGGCCUUUAUUUGACGGUAAUCAACCAGAAAGUCACGGCUAACUACGUGCCAGCCGCCGCCGUAACAC
rnacentral:rRNA from 1 species